UCUCCAAUAGGGACUGUCCAAUUCGCUCUUUGGCGAGCUAAUGAAGAAUGUUAGCAGCGCAGCCUCCCUUAGCCUCGCUGGAAGGAAUUGGACCUGUGCUUCAACAUGUUUAAUUGAAGUCAGUGGAAUCUGAAGUUGCUUAAUGUUGGUUGGCUGAUCAUGCCAAAUAUAUUUUGGAUGUGUUACUGUGCCCGUUAGAUCUGGGAUCAAGUCCCUCAGGAAGAUUCUGGAAUAAAAUGCAGCUCUGCGGUCUCCAAGAUAAUGAAGAUCAAAAUGGUGCCACAUAUGUAAUAAUU